CAUCUGGUACCAUGCAUGUUUCCUUGGAGAUGCUCAACGCCUAGUGGCUGUGACAGAAGGACCACGUGGUCAAGAACAGACCGUGAUUACAGACCUGCAUCCAGAGAGGGUGUUUUCACGUUCCAGUCGGACCUGGAGAGAUAAGUGAUGGCAGGACAGAGCAGAUCCAGGAAAUAAUGUUUCUCUAUCCAUUGCCUCAAAGGAAAUUGGAAAACAAGCGUGUCAAUGCCCGGCUGAUGAAGUGUAUGUGGAAAAAAAGAGAACACGCAAAGUAGAGGGAUCCAGCGUGCGUUCUUUGGUUCGACAACUCGACUUUCCACAAGGUCUUUUCAAAACGAGCUUCCAGGGACAGUGCCAAGGACUUAAGAGCUGGCGGCGUCGGCCUGAACCCCGCAACUAGGCAGGUUCCCAGGAGGCUUGAAUGAGGGGGUCACAGCGCGGAUCUCCCUCUCCCCCACGCAGUCUUUGUGAGUUAUUGCCAGCGAGGGGCACAAAAGGACCGCAGGACCCAAAAUGCCGGAGUGGGAGGGGAGAUGUAGCGACUGCGACUGGCCGCCGCGGUUUUUUGAGCCCCUCAGGCUGAAACUCGCCCUGUGGGACCGGGAAACCCACGCCUUCACCCUCCCGGGCCCAGGGACACCACGCCUCAACGCGCUCGCCUGCAGAGGUGUGCAAGGAGAACUGACCCCCUGGGGCUGCCGUCGUCUGCGAAACACAAAGGCCGGAAGUACAUCGGCGUCAGCCUGGCCUGGCGCCCUCUCUAGGACCCUGGAUGCCCCACAGCUCAGUGGUUCUCCAGACCCGAAGCUGGUGGGUGGAGGGAUCUGACCUGGGGAUACCCAGGGCGUGUGUGUGCCCUCCUGCAGGGGCGGCAAAGGGCUCGCAGGAACA
ensembl:lncRNA